UAGUACGAGAGGACCGGGAUGGACAUACCUCUGGUGUACCAGUUGUUCUGCCAAGAGCACCGCUGGGUAGCUACGUAUGGAUUAGAUAAUCGCUGAAAGCAUCUAAGUGAGAAACUAACCUCGAGAUGAGAUUUCCCAUUCGUCAGAAGUAAGACCCCUGAGAGACGAUCAGGUAGAUAGGCUAGAAGUGGAAGUGUAGUGAUGCAUGGAGCGGACUAGUACUAAUAGGUCGAGGACUUAACCAAG
rnacentral:rRNA from 1 species